GGACUUUGAACUCAAUGCCAUGACUGAGGAAGACCAUGGGGUUUUCUCUCUUAGAGGGGAAGAAUCCUUGAUAUUCUUCAUUCCAAUUGUUCACCUCUACUGUAGGGCUCAGUAAACACUUAAGGAAGUUGCCGUGCACUGCAGCCUGCCGGAGACAUGAAGGAAUGUACGGGAGGAUAAUUGCAACAUCAUCAACCCAAUUCUCCAAGGUAGCUGGCCAAUAAUGCUGUUCUAAUUGAAUAACUUAUCCACAGCUAUUUCCCCUGGGAAAGCCGAAGGCUCAGCUUCGGCAAAGAGGCAGAUGGUGCCGCAUAUACAAUGAAACCUGUAAUUUUCUCUUGCCAUUGGACAUGUUAACAGUGGGCUGUUUCUGCUUAUUCCUUAGUAUUUUAUUUUAAUAGUCCCUUCCCAAAUUAUAAUGUACAAUGAAGCAGCCAAAGACGGAUUCAGUGAUACAUAUCAUAUUUAAUUUAUCAUACCUCUAGCUCACUGAACAACUCACUUGGUAGUCAGCAGCAGUAUAUGUCAGGGACAGGUGCAAGCUGAAAAGAAAGCAACAGAAAAGGACCCAAUUAAAACCAAAAGGGGAGAUGAGUCUUCAGGGUGGCAUGGCAUUCACUAGCAGCGAAGUGUGCAAUAUCAAACACAUUCUAAUUCUGAUUUUUUUACCAGUAAUUUGCCAUGGGACAGGCACACCCCAUGUGUUUGGGAAGACAAUGGGAAGGUUCUGUUUUCUGCUCCAAGACUGAUUCAACCAGUUGGAUCUGGAAGGGGAUAAAGGGCUGUGCGGCUGCUUGAUUU
rnacentral:lncRNA from 1 species